AUCAAGCAUCAGCUUUAGGUCCUUAUUUGUUUGCACUUAUCAUGGAUUAUUUAACCAGAGACAUUCAAGAUGAGGUUCCUUAGUGUAUGCUUUUCACUAAUGAUAUUGUUUUGGUGGAUGGAACAAAAGCAGGGAUUAAUGCCAAGUUGGAAUUAUGGAGAUCAAUCUUGGAAUCAAAAGAUUUUAGGAUAAGUACAAUGAAGAUGGAGUAUCUGAUGUCUAACUCUAGUCAUG